ACGGGUUAGGCUCUUGGGAGCU
rnacentral:ncRNA from 12 species